rnacentral:rRNA from 1 species
UACGAAGGGGGCUAGCGUUGCUCGGAAUCACUGGGCGUAAAGGGUGCGUAGGCGGGUCUUUAGGUCAGGGGUGAAAUCCUGGAGCUCAACUCCAGAACUGCCUUCGAUACUGGAGAGCUCGAGUCCGGGAGAGGUGAGUGGAACUGCGAGUGUAGAGGUGAAAUUCGUAGAUAUUCGCAAGAACACCAGUGGCGAAGGCGGCUCACUGGCCCGAUACUGACGCUGAGGCACGAAAGCGUGGGGAGCAAACAGG